rnacentral:rRNA from 1 species
CUACGGGAGGCACCAGUGGGGAAUAUUGCACAAUGGAGGAAACUCUGAUGCAGCAACGCCGCGUGGAGGAUGACACAUUUCGGUGCGUAAACUCCUUUUAUUAGGGAAGAUAAUGACGGUACCUAAUGAAUAAGCACCGGCUAACUCCGUGCCAGCAGCCGCGGUAAUACGGAGGGUGCAAGCGUUACUCGGAAUCACUGGGCGUAAAGCGCGCGCAGGCGGCCUUUUAAGUUGGAUGUGAAAGCCUACGGCUCAACCGUAGAACUGCAUCCAAAACUAUUGGGCUAGAGUGUGGGAGAGGAAGAUGGAAUUAGUUGUGUAGGGGUAAAAUCCGUAGAGAUAACUAGGAAUACCAAAAGCGAAGGCAAUCUUCUGGAACACUACUGACGCUGAGGCGCGAAAGCGUGGGGAGCAAACAGGAUUAGAUACCCGGGUAGUC